rnacentral:rRNA from 1 species
AUUGAACGCUGGCGGCAGGCCUAACACAUGCAAGUCGAACGGUAACAGGAAGAAGCUUGCUUCUUUGCUGACGAGUGGCGGACGGGUGAGUAAUGUCUGGGAAACUGUCUGAUGGAGGGGGAGAACUACUGGAAACGGUAGCGAAUACCGCAUAAUGUCGCAAGACCAAAGAGGGGGACCUUCGGGCCUCUUGCCAUCUGAUGUGCCCAGAUGGGAUUAGCUAGUAGGUGGGGUAACGGCUCACCUAGGCGGAGAUCCCUAGCUGGUCUGAGAGGAUGAGCAGCCACAACGGGACUGAGACAAGGUCCCGACUCCUACGGGAAGCAGCAGGGGGGAAUAUUGGACAAUGGGCGCCAGCCUGAUGCAGCUCUGCCGCGUGUAUGAAGGAGGCCUUCGGGUUGUAAAGUACUUUCAGCGGGGAGGAAGGGAGUAAAGUUAAUACCUUUGCUCAUUGACGUUACCCGCAGGAGAAGCACCGGCUAACUCCGGG